UACGGAGGGGGCUAGCGUUGUUCGGAAUUACUGGGCGUAAAGCGCACGUAGGCGGACCGGAAAGUCAGAGGUGAAAUCCCAGGGCUCAACCUUGGAACUGCCUUUGAAACUCCUGGUCUUGAGGUCGAGAGAGGUGAGUGGAAUUCCGAGUGUAGAGGUGAAAUUCGUAGAUAUUCGGAGGAACACCAGUGGCGAAGGCGGCUCACUGGCUCGAUACUGACGCUGAGGUGCGAAAGCGUGGGGAGCAAACAGG
rnacentral:rRNA from 4 species